rnacentral:rRNA from 1 species
GACGAACGCUGGCGGCGUGCUUAACACAUGCAAGUCGAACGGUGAAGCGCCUUCCUUUUUGGUUGGUGUGGAUGAGUGGCGAACGGGUGAGUAACACGUGAGUAACCUGCCCCCUUCUUCUGGAUAACCGCAUGAAAGUGUGGCUAAUACGGGAUAUCCUGGGUCUGUCGCAUGAUUGGUCUGGGAAAGAUAUUGUUUCGGUGGGGGAUGGGCUCGCGGCCUAUCAGCUUGUUGGUGUGGUGAUGGCCUACCGCGGCGGUGACGGGUCGACGGCCUGGGAGGGUCGACGGCCUGAGAGGGAGUGAGGCACGGCUGGGACUGCGACGGGGAGCAGCAGGGGAGAGUAUGGAACAGUGGGGACAAUUGUGAUGCAGCGGCGCGGCGGGUGGGAUGGAGGCCUGAGCGUGAUGAACCUCUUUCGGUUGUGAAGCAGGCUUGCCUGGGAUGUGGGUGGGUUGACGGUAGCUGGAAAAGAAGCGCCGGCUAACUACGUG